GCCGCUGUAGUUCAGUUGGUAGAACACUGCUCUCAUGAGGCAGGGGUCGGGGGUUCAAAUCCCUCCGGCGGCA
rnacentral:tRNA from 2 species